GAAUAUUGGACAAUGGGCGAAAGCCUGAUCCAGCAAUGCCGCGUGUGUGAAGAAGGCCUGCGGGUUGUAAAGCACUUUUAUCGGGAAAGAAAAUCACAGGACUAAUACUUCUGUGCCUUUACUGUACCCGAAGAAUAAGCCCCGGCUAACUCCGUGCCAGCAGCCGCGGUAAUACGGAGGGUGCAAGCGUUAAUCGGAAUUACUGGGCGUAAAGCGCGCGUAGGCGGUUUGUUAAGUCAGAUGUGAAAUCCCCGGGCUCAACCUGGGAAUGGCAUUUGAGACUGGCAGGCUAGAGUGUGGUAGAGGUGAGUGGAAUUUCAGGUGUAGCGGUGAAAUGCGUAGAGAUCUGAAGGAACAUCAGUGGCGAAGGCGACUCACUGGGCCAUUACUGACGCUGAGGUGCGAAAGCGUGGGUAGCAAACAGG
rnacentral:rRNA from 1 species